rnacentral:misc_RNA from 1 species
AAGUCGUAACAAGGUUUCCGUAGGUGAACCUGCGGAAGGAUCAUUACAAAUCCCACUGUCCUCUUCCUGGACAACGUUGCAACUAACUACUAAUAUAUUAAGACACCACACGAUUGUAUACCCCUUUCUUGCAAAAGAAAAACAAACAAAAGUACAACUUACAACAAUGGAUCUCUAGGCUCUU